rnacentral:tRNA from 1 species
GCGGCAGUAGCUCAGUUGGUAGAGCAUCAGCUUCCCAAGCUGAGGGUCACGGGUUCGAGUCCCGCUUGCCGCUCAA